CACGUAGGGUGCGAGCGUUGUCCGGAAUUAUUGGGCGUAAAGGGCUCGUAGGCGGCCAACUAAGUCCGACGUGAAAUCCCCAGGCUCAACCUGGGAACUGCGUCGGAUACUGGAUGGCUUGAAUUCGGGAGAGGGAUGCAGAAUUCCAGGUGUAGCGGUGAAAUGCGUAGAUAUCUGGAGGAAUACCGGUGGCGAAGGCGGCAUCCUGGACCGACAUUGACGCUGAUGAGCGAAAGCUAGGGGAGCAAACGGG
rnacentral:rRNA from 1 species